rnacentral:rRNA from 1 species
UACGAAGGGGGGCUAGCGUUGCUCGGAAUCACUGGGCGUAAAGGGUGCGUAGGCGGGUCUUUAAGUCAGGGGUGAAAUCCUGGAGCUCAACUCCAGAACUGCCUUUGAUACUGAAGAUCUUGAGUUCGGGAGAGGUGAGUGGAACUGCGAGUGUAGAGGUGAAAUUCGUAGAUAUUAGCUAGAACACCAGUGGCGAAGGCGGCCAACUGGUCCGGUACUGACGCUGAGGCGCGACAGCGUGGGGAGCAAACAGG